rnacentral:rRNA from 1 species
AGAGUUUGAUCCUGGCUCAGAACGAACGUUGGCGAGAUGUUUUAAGCAUGCAAGUCGAGCGGUAGAAAGGAGCUUGCUCCUUUUGAGAGCGGCGAACGGGUGAGUAACACGUAGGUUAUCUGCCCCGUAGACUGGGAUAGCCUCUGGAAACAGUGAUUAAUACCGGAUAAUCUCUUACGAGCAAAGGUGCGUUUGCACCACUAUGGGAUGAGCCUGCGCCCUAUUAGCUUGUUGGCGGGGUAAGAGCCCACCAAGGCGAUGAUAGGUAGCCGACCUGAGAGGGUGAUCGGCCACAUUGGGACUGAGACACGGCCCAGACUCCUACGGGAGGCAGCAGCUAAGAAUAUUCCGCAAUGGGCGAAAGCCUGACGGAGCAAUCUCGCGUGAGUGAUGAAGGCCUUCGGGUUGUAAGGCUCUUUCGGCAGGGAAGAAUUAGAGAAUAGGAAAUGUAUUUUCGAUGACUGUACCUGCAGAAGAGGGACCGGCUAAUUACGUGCCAGCAGCCGCGGUAAUACGUAGGGUCCAAACGUUGUUCGGAAUUAUUGGGCGUAAAGGGUACGUAGGCGGCCAAAUAAGUUAGUGGUGAAAUCCCGGGGCUUAACUCCGUCCUGCCUCUAAAACUAUUUGGCUAGAGUCGCUUAUAUAGGUAGCAGGAAUUCCUAGUGUAGGAGUGAAAUCUGUAGAUAUUAGGAGGAACACCAAUGGCGAAGGCAAGCUACUGGGUAGUGACUGACGCUGAUGUACGAAAGCCAGGGUAGCGAAUGGGAUUAGAGACCCCAGUAGUCCUGGCCGUAAACGAUGUAUACUAGUUCUAUGGGUAUUUUUUUAUCCGUGGAACGUAGCUAACGCGUUAAGUAUACCGCCUGGGGACUAUGCACGCAAGUGUGAAACUCAGAGGAAUUGACGGGGGCUCGCACAAGCAGUGGAGCAUGUGGUUUAAUUCGAUGAUACGCGAAAAACCUUACCUAGGCUUGAACGUGUAGUGACAGCCGGUGAAAGCCGGUUUCCCUUCGGGGCACUAUGCGAGAUGCUGCAUGGCUGUCGUCAGCUCGUGUUGUGAAAUGUUGGGUUAAGUCCCGCAACGAGCGCAACCCUUAUCCUAUGUUGCUAAACUACUUCGGUAGUAGGACUCUUAGGAGACUGCCCUGGUUAACGGGGAGGAAGGUGGGGAUGACGUCAAGUCCUCAUGGCCCUUAUGUCUAGGGCUACACACGUGCUACAAUGGGGAGUACAAAGGGAAGCGAGACUGCAAGGUUAAGCAAAUCCCAAAAAAACUCUUCUCAGUUCGGAUCGCAGUCUGCAACUCGACUGCGUGAAGUUGGAAUCGCUAGUAAUCGCAGAUCAGCAUGCUGCGGUGAAUACGUUCUCGAGCCUUGUACACACCGCCCGUCACACCACCCGAGUUAGGAAUACCCGAAGUCGUUGUACCAACCGCAAGGAGGAAGGCGCCGAAGGUGUUUUUGAUAAGGAGGGUGAAGUCGUAACAAGGCG